rnacentral:rRNA from 1 species
UAAUACGUAGGUGGCAAGCGUUGUCCGGAAUUGUUGGGCGUAAAGCGCGCGCAGGCGGUCCUUUAAGUCUGAUGUGAAAGCCCACGGCUCAACCGUGGAGGGUCAUUGGAAACUGGGGGACUUGAGUACAGAAGAGAAGAGUGGAAUUCCACGUGUAGCGGUGAAAUGCGUAGAGAUGUGGAGGAACACCAGUGGCGAAGGCGACUCUUUGGUCUGUAACUGACGCUGAGGCGCGAAAGCGGGGGGAGCAAACAGG